CAGCAGCAGCCGCGGGAAUACGUAGGUCCCGAGCGUUGUCCGGAUUUAUUGGGCGUAAAGGGAGCGCAGGCGGUUUAGUAAGUCUGAAGUUAAAGGCAUUGGCUCAACCAAUGUAUGCUUUGGAAACUGUUUAACUUGAGUGCAAGAGGGGAGAGUGGAAUUCCAUGUGUAGCGGUGAAAUGCGUAGAUAUAUGGAGGAACACCGGUGGCGAAAGCGGCUCUCGGGCUUGUAACUGACGCUGAGGCUCGAAAGCGUGGGGCGCAAACAGGAUUAGAUACCCCCGUAGUCCCUGUCUCUUAUACA
rnacentral:rRNA from 1 species